UACGUAGGCAGCAAGCGUUGUUCGGAAUUACUGGGCGUAAAGAGUGUGUAGGCGGUGCUCUAAGUUCGGUGUGAAAUCUCCUGCUUAACUGGGAGGGUGCGCCGGAAACUGGAGUGCUCGAGCGUGGGAGAGGAAAGCGGAAUUCCUGGUGUGGCGGUGAAAUGCGUAGAUAUCAGGAGGAACACCUGCGGUGUAGACGGCUUUCUGGACCAUUGCUGACGCUGAGACACGAAAGCGUGGGUAGCAAACAGG
rnacentral:rRNA from 1 species